UCGCUCAGUUGGUAGAGCAAUCGGCUGUUAACCGAUCGGUCGCAGGUUCGAGUCCUGCCUGUGGAGCCA
rnacentral:tRNA from 1 species